AGGUAAGCCAAUGGAGUGAAAUUGGCUAAAGCAGUCAGAUGGAGUCAUAGGGUUGAAAAUGGCUCACUGUUCUAGAAUGCUCUCCACUCCCACAAUCUUAUGGAACUGAGUACUUCAAAGAAGGGACGUUUGUGUAUUGUCUGGAAGGUUUUGCCAUUGGCCGAAGCAACAAAAGCCUGCAGAAGAUUCUUAAUUCUGAGAAGAUGGAGCUCUUGACAGGAACCCUCCCAAGCUUACAAACCUUGGCAACCACUUACAGAUCACAUGGGAAGUUAAGCGGAAGGCCAAGAUUUGAAUGGACUGACUGGCUUCUUGUUACUUUUCAAGGCAUAGUUCUUCUCCAAGUCUUCCAUUUGCCAGGGAAUACAGAAUGUUUCUACGUGGCAAGAUGGCCCCUCAUCUUCAUUUAAAUGCAAGUUAUGAGAUUACCGAGUAAAGGAAAAGUCUUCCUGGAAGCCAGGUCAAAAUGGUCACAGAUGAGAUUAAGUGUCCAUGGGGGAGCAAGGAGGGAAGCUCUGGAGGCAGGUGGCUAAAAGCUGUGGUGUCUCUGAGGUGCUCAGGGCUACCUCUCUAAAACAAGAGUAGGAACUGCUGAGCUUUUAACUGCCCAGGGCUUUGGGAUGAAUGACACCUAUACUCGGGGCUGCUAGCCUCCUUCCAACCAUUCUCUACACAGCAGUGAGAAUGCCCAUCUUAUGCUGAGCCAUAUGCCCAGAACACUUUGGUGCAUCCUAUUGUACUCAGAAUAGAACCCGGGGCCCUGGACUUUGUCAAUAAAUCUGUUGCAGGAACUACCCAUAUACUGCCUCUGUUCUCACUGAGAUUCACUGAUUGCUUUUCACUGCAGCCACCUGGAGUGCUUCAUAAGAAGUCUUUUUGGCUCCUAGCAGAACAUCUCUGGGAAUUAAUGCCUCAGCAAGUGGUCCAGCCAUCAUGGGCGAAGGUUGUUGGAUAUAGGCGAAGGUUGGGGGAUAUAUACCUGACUGUCUU
ensembl:lincRNA